rnacentral:lncRNA from 15 species
ACUGCUCCUUCUUCUACAAAGCUUCAAUGCUUAUGUUGAGCAAAUUAGUUGCAACCACAGGAGAGAACAAACCCAGCAGAGAGGAUGCCUGUCAGUUGGUCUUAUUGUCAGAAACUACUGGAGUAAUUUAGUCCAAUUUGCCAGCCUUAAGGUAGGCAAACUGCUUGAUUUAAGUGAAGAUAAAACAAUUUAAAAUAUUAACAAACUGAUGGAGAUAGUUUCUUUCCAAUCUUCUUUUAGGGGGGCUACAAAGACAUCAAGAAGCAGACAAAAGAAAAGGCAUUUGACAGUGAUGAGACGGCGUCAUCUGUCUCCCUCCAACUGAGCUCAAGGAGUGACUUCUGCAGACAUUGCUCAUCUGCCCGGUCUUCAAAAAGCUCCUCACCACAAGUUUUCCCCCAGAAUCACGUACCCUCCAGCCCUAGCCACAACAGCUAUCCUAAAGUCGACAGCCACAAUGUAAGCUGCCAGACGGUUGAAUCAUCCCUCGCUCCCUGCGAUGCGUGUCACCAAGUCCAAUCCUUAUUGAGAAAAACAGGAGAUGCUUUGAUAGAACUGUUCCAGAGUGAGGGCCUGCCCUCAUCUCUUCAGCCGCUCUUAGUAGCAGUGGAGGACACCCUGGAGCUGGGACAUAUGACAGCAGGUGAUGUCGCCCAGUGGGCCAAUGAGCAGCUCAGGGACCUGCGCCGGCUGGCAAAGCACCUUCAAGAUGUGCGGGGUACGGUGCAGCCUCUAAAUGAAAGACUAGCGGCAGCAGAAGCGGAGCGGGAGAGAUUGAGGUCUCGGUUGGAAAGAGCCCAGAAAGAGUUCAGGGAUCAGACCGAAAAACACCAAGCAAACAUAGUCCAGCUGGAGUUUUCACUGCGGAAAGCACAGAGAUUAAUGAAAGAAACAGAGCAAAGGCUGCAAGAGGAGCAGCAACAACUCAGGAGAGAAACUCAGAGCUUGGAGGAGAGUAAUUCCAGACUGAAAGAGAAAGUAGCAGUACAGCAAGACACAUUAGAAGCACUUGGUAAGGACAGUUUACCAUCAAGCAACCCUUCUUUUAAUAUUCAUAGUUUGCAGAAUUGUAUGAAAUGUUUUAGUCAUACACAUAAAAUGACCUGA